UGGGGUUUAAUUGAUACUAAUAAUAAUAAUAAUAUUUUUUUAUGCUAUGAGUGUUAGUAAAUCCAAAAAUUAAGAAAGCUAUAAGAUAGAUUUGUAAAAUACAUUCUCUAAGCAUUAGAAAUAAAAUAUAAAUUAUUUAAUAUAAAGAGGAAAGCUCUAUUUUUUUGAAUUUUAUCUUAGAUAAUUUUAAUACAUAAAUUCACAGC
rnacentral:lncRNA from 1 species